CGUGUAGGCGGUCCGGUAAGUCCGCUGUGAAAGUCGGGGGCUCAACCCUCGGAUGCCGGUGGAUACUGUCGGGCUUGAGUACGGAAGAGGCGAGUGGAAUUCCUGGUGUAGCGGUGAAAUGCGCAGAUAUCAGGAGGAACACCAAUUGCGAAGGCAGCUCGCUGGGACGUUACUGACGCUGAGACGCGAAAGCGUGGGGAGCAAACA
rnacentral:rRNA from 1 species